rnacentral:rRNA from 1 species
UACCAGCACCCCGAGUGGUCGGGACGAUUAUUGGGCCUAAAGCAUCCGUAGCCGGUUCUACAAGUCUUCCGUUAAAUCCACCUGCUUAACAGAUGGGCUGCGGAGGAUACUAUAGAGCUAGGAGGCGGGAGAGGCAAGCGGUACUUAGUGGGUAGGGGUAAAAUCCGUUGAUCCAUUGAAGACCACCAGUGGCGAAGGCGGCUUGCCAGAACGCACUCGAUGGUGAGGGAUGAAAGCUGGGGGAAGCAAACCGGG